ACUCGAGCUAAUACCGCAUACGCCCUACGGGGGAAAGCGGGGGAUCUUCGGACCUCGCGCUAUUAGAUGAGCCUGCGUAAGAUUAGCUAGUUGGUGGGGUAAUGGCCUACCAAGGCGACGAUCUUUAGCUGGUCUGAGAGGAUGAUCAGCCACACCGGGACUGAGACACGGCCCGGACUCCUACGGGAGGCAGCAGUGGGGAAUAUUGCGCAAUGGGCGAAAGCCUGACGCAGCCAUGCCGCGUGUGUGAAGAAGGCCUUCGGGUUGUAAAGCACUUUCAAUUGGGAGGAAAGGUUCACGAUUAAUACUCGUGAGCUGUGACGUUACCUUUAGAAGAAGCACCGGCUAACUCCGUGCCAGCAGCCGCGGUAAUACGGAGGGUGCAAGCGUUAAUCGGAAUUACUGGGCGUAAAGCGCGCGUAGGUGGCUUGUUAAGUCGGAUGUGAAAGCCCCGGGCUCAACCUGGGAACUGCAUCCGAUACUGGCAAGCUAGAGUGCGGGAGAGGGAGGUAGAAUUCCACGUGUAGCGGUGAAAUGCGUAGAUAUGUGGAGGAAUACCAGUGGCGAAGGCGGCCUCCUGGCUCGACACUGACACUGAGGUGCGAAAGCGUGGGUAGCAAACAGGAUUAGAUACCCUGGUAGUCCACGCCGUAAACGAUGUCUACUAGCUGUAGGGGUACUUGAGACCUUUGUAGCGCAGCUAACGCACUAAGUAGACCGCCUG
rnacentral:rRNA from 1 species